GCGUACUUAGCUCAAAUGGUAAGAGCAUCACUCUUGAAAGUUGAGGUUGUGGGUUUGAUUCCCACUGUGCACA
rnacentral:tRNA from 1 species